AAAAACUGAUUAAUUUGCUGUUACCCAAAAAACAAACUGAUUAAUUUCCCUCCGACUCCAAGCUACAAACUUUAAAAAGGCCACGAAACCAAAGUUCCUGCUCUUAAGCCGUUUCUUAUUGACGCUUGUGAGCUUUAAAAGGGAUUAUAAGUUGAUCUUUAUAUGGAUUUCAAGACAUUGGGAGCGCCAUGGUUGGAGAUUUAUUAUUUAGAGCAAAAGAAGCCCAAAGUUGAGUUCACCCCUUGCUCCUGGCAUACUCUUUCCGUCUUUCGUGUCUCACCUCUUUCUGAGCGUGCUCUACCCCAUUUUCAGUCACCUCUCAAAAACUCGUGCGUGCUCCACCUCGUUUUUGGUGUGUUCCACUACUGUCAUUUAAGAGGUCAUUGCCAUUUAAUAGACUCAUCGGCCUAACUUAAGCCACAUGAUCAAAAUUGGAAGGUUUGAUCUUACCCUUUAUAGUAGGGUUUUAUCAUUUUCAAGAAGGAGGGCUAGAUGGAGACUUACGAGGAUUAAUCUACUUAAGGACAAGGGGGGAUGAUGGAGAAGAGAUAAAGAAGAUUUUGAAGAACAAGGCACAAAUUUUUAUAGAGAGAAGCAAGGUAUUUAGAACGAGAAAGCUGAAGAUUGAAGGAGAUUGAAGACUUUCAAGAUAUUGGAACAUUUAAGACUCUUCAACUACUUAGUUUUUCUCUACAUUUUGUUGCUCUCUAAACAUGUAUUAAGGAUUAUUUAACUUUUUGCAGAGUUUAUAAUGUUUAUAUGGGGUUUUCUCUAAUUUUGGAUUUGAAUGUUACUAUGAACAUAUUUAGCAAAAUUUUUAUAGAAAAUUUUGAUAGAA